GUGUUUGCAUUUGUCUCCAGGUAUUAUUUCCUCUUUGAUGUCUUCAACGACCUAUUGGUUAGCAUACUGCUUAGCUUCCAGGUGUUUGUGUUUGGGGUUGUUUUUUUUCCUUGUAGUUGAUUUCCAGGCUCAUAGCCUUGGGGUCAGAAAAGAUGCUUGCUAUGGAGUAUGGUCAGGCCACUCAAGAUGGUUGUUCUCUGGCUCUCUGUACAUUCUCUGCUCAACCGGUCCCUGCUUUACUUGCAUGACUCUUCAAUCCUCUUAAUUAUAGGGCUUAAUUAGUAACUGCCCAGGUGCUUGCUCUCUGCCCUAUCUGCUGGUUUCCUUGGUAAUUGAUGAGCCAAUCUGACGUCAUUUCCCCCUAUGACUAGUAGCCUCUUUCUCCCUGGAGGAGUGAGGAUGGCUGCCAGCUAGCAGUCCUGUCUGCCAUCUGCCAUACACAGUGGUGGUCUAGGACCUUCCUUCAGACUGUAAGUUGCUCUGUCCAGUAAGUCACUGAUGUCUCUGCUGCCCUCUCAGGAUGAGGAAACCCCCGGGAGCUGAGAUUAGGACACAGGGAUGGGGGAAAAGAAGGCUGUGGGGGAGAUUCCGAGGAGGCCAUCCAGUAGCAGGCGGGGCCCUGUGGCAGCUGUGUACCACGAGAGGGUUGUUCCUGAGACCUUUCCAAGGCGGACAAUGCCUGCUCUGGCUUACCACCUGCAGAAACAUCUUGGCUUCCUCAGCAACCAGUUCACAUUCCUUGGCUUGCCUGUGCCCUCGGUGAUCACUGUUUAUCAGAUAAUUCUAAACAAGUUCUGACACAGGCAACCUGGCAAACUCUCACCACCCAGUGUCAUCUGCAAAUACACAUUUUCCAAUGAAAAAAAGUCAACUAAUGAUCAAGUUUAAAAAGGAAUUCUGUUUGAGCCAAACUGAGGAGUCUAACCCAGAAAGCAAAUUCUUAGAAACCUCUGAGAACUGUCCCACCGGUUAGAAGUUGAAGGCAUAGAUACACAUUUUUGAGACAAAGAAUUGUACAUCAAAAUGACAUGCUGAUAUUUUACAUAAAAUUCAUGAAGGACAUAUAGUCUGGGUAAGCACAAAUGAAGCGAGCAGCAAGUCACCACAACCCCCAGCAGAGCUGGAAAAGAACAUUAUUCUUUGGAGAAGUUACCUUGCUCGGGACUUCCCUGGCAGUCCAGUGGUUUCGACUUUGUGCUUCCGGUGCAAGGGGCACUGUUUCAAUCAUUGGAUAAGGAACUAAGAUUCUACAUGCUGUGUGACACAGCCAACGGGUUUUUUUUUUUUUUUUUUUUUUAAGUUACAUUGUUAGUGUCAGAAGAAAGAAGAAGAAAAAAUUGAUCUUUAGGGUCGAGCAGACAUUCCUGUCUUUGAGCAGGUCUGGUUAAUGUGUAAUAAAGGCCUGAACAGGAUUUUGGGUUUAAUGUUU
rnacentral:lncRNA from 1 species